AUGAGUACAACUGCCAUUUUUUAAUCUAUUAAAACUGAAGUACAUAUAUAACUUCACCUUUAAUCUUGCUUAAUAUUUACUUUUCUAUACCACUGUAUUUUUUUCUACUUAUUGGCUGGCCUAAUCGAUAAGAUAUCCCCAAAGCCCAAUACCUAUUAUUUGGCCCGAAAAAUCAUACGAUUUAAUAAAUGAUACGGUCUGUUAUUGAUAUCAUAUGCGAUGUAUUUUUCAGAUUAACCCAAG
rnacentral:lncRNA from 1 species